UUAUGUAAUGUGUGCUUUACUAAUAUAUAAUUUUAAAAUGGUUUUUAGGGAUAUGCAAACUGAAGCAUGACAAUGUGCAAAGGCUACUUGAACAAGUUUUGAUGCGGAUGAGAAACAAGUUUUAUUGGGACCCUUGCAUUUUAUAUGUAAAUGUAUUUUAGUGACAAUAUUUGUAGAGUUCAUUAUUUACUUGAGCUGAAAAUAGUUGUACAUUAACGUGAUUUUGUAACAUUUGAAUGAAAUAAUUUAUGUGUCUUGGUUUAUUUCAAAAUGCAAUUAGAAUAAACUUCUUUAUGAUUUGGAUUAUUUGUAGUUUUGUUACGUGUGAGCUUAAUUGUGUUCUAAUCUAAUUAUAAAACCAGUUAUGUUUAAUUAUGUUUAGAAUUACUUAUCUGUGAGAUUAAGUGAAACCAGUUCU
rnacentral:lncRNA from 1 species